rnacentral:rRNA from 1 species
ACGAACGCUGGCGGCGCGCUUAACACAUGCAAGUCGAGCGAUGAAAUCUUGACAGAUCCCUUCGGGGUGAAGAUAAGAUGGAUUAGCGGCGGACGGGUGAGUAACACGUGAGUAACCUGCCUUAGACAUUGGGAUAGCCUCGGGAAACCGGGAUUAAUACCAAAUGAAAUCAUAGGUGCCCAUGCACUAAUGAUCAAAACUCCGGUGGUCUAAGAUGGACUCGCGUCCCAUUAGCUAGUUGGUGAGGUAAUGGCCCACCAAGGCGACGAUGGGUAGCCGGCCUGAGAGGGUGAACGGCCACAUUGGAACUGAGAAACGGUCCAAACUCCUACGGGAGGCAGCAGUGGGGAAUAUUGCACAAUGGAGGGAACUCUGAUGCAGCGACGCCGCGUGAACGAUGAAGGCUUUCGAGUCGUAAAGUUCUUUUAUAUGGGAAGAUAAUGACGGUACCAUAAGAAAAAGCCCCGGCUAACUACGUG